UCAGAACUGGAAACUGGUUCUUGUGCUA
rnacentral:piRNA from 1 species